UACGUAGGGUGCAAGCGUUAAUCGGAAUAACUGGGCGUAAAGGGCACGCAGGCGGGCUUUUAAGACAGAUGUGAAAUCCCCGGGCUUAACCUGGGAAUAGCAUUUCAGACUGGGAGUCUGGAGUGCUUUAGGGAGGGGUAGAAUUCCGCGUGUAGCGGUGAAAUGCGUAGAGAUGUGGAGGAACACCGAAGGCGAAGGCAGCCCCUUGGGAAUGUACUGACGCUCAUGUGCGAAAGCGUGGGGAGCAAACAGG
rnacentral:rRNA from 1 species